UACGGGGGGUGCAAGCGUUGUCCGGAUUUACUGGGCGUAAAGGGCGCGUAGGCGGUUGUAUCAGUCGGACUUAUAAGUGCGGGGCUCAACCCCGUGAUGGGUUCGGGACGGUAUGACUGGGGCGCGGUCGAGGGAGACGGAAUGCCGGGUGUAGUGGUGAAAUGCGUAGAGAUCCGGCGGAACACCGGUGGUGAAGGCGGUCUCCUAGGCCGAGGGCCGACGCUGAGGCGCGAGAGCGUGGGGAGCGAACCGG
rnacentral:rRNA from 1 species